rnacentral:lncRNA from 1 species
CUUUUCGAGGUAGGAGUCGACUCCUGUGAGGUAUGGUGCUGGGUGCAGAUGCAGUGUGGCUCUGGAUAGCACCUUAUGGACAGUUGUGUCCCCAAGGAAGGAUGAGAAUAGCUACUGAAGUCCUAAAGAGCAAGCCUAACUCAAGCCAUUGGCACACAGGCAUUAGACAGAAAGCUGGAAGUUGAAAUGCUCCUGGUAACGUUUUUAUCCAUGGAUGACUUGCUUGGGUAAGGACAUGAAGACAGUUCCUGUCAUACCUUUUAAAGGACUCAGAAUUCAUGAUUGAAGAAAUGCAGGGUUUUUAAUGACCACAACAAGCAAGCAUGCAGCUUACUGCUUGAAAGGGUCUUGCCUCACCCAAGCUAGAGUGCAGUGGCCUUUGAAGCUUACUACAGCCUCAAACUUCUGGGCUCAAGUGAUCCUCAGCCUCCCAGUGGUCUUUGUAGACUGCCUGAUGGAGUCUCAUGGCACAAGAAGAUUAAAACAGUGUCUCCAAUUUUAAUAAAUUUUUGCAAUCCA